rnacentral:ncRNA from 1 species
AUAAUACUGCCACCGGGUAGUUGAAUGUUGAAAAAAGCAUUCGUUGCAUAGCGUUAGGUCUUUGAAGCUAUGCUGCGAAUGCUUUUUGCUU